rnacentral:rRNA from 1 species
GGACUACAGGGGUUUCUAAUCCCGUUCGCUACCCACGCUUUCGUGUUUCAGUGUCAGGAGUGCGCCAGUGCACUGCCUUCGCAUUCGGUGUUCCCCAUGAUAUCAACGGAUUUCACCCCUACACCAUGAGUUCCGUGCACCUCUCGCAUCCUCGAGUCGUGCCGUUUCCCUCGCAUUUUCUGGGUUAAGCCCAAAAGCUUUGACGAGAGACUAACACAACCACCUACACACCCUUUACGCCCAGUGAUUCCGGGUAACGCUUGAGGCCUCUGUCUUACCGCGGCUGCUGGCAC